CCUACGGGAGGCAGCAGUGGGGAAUCUUAGACAAUGGGCGCAAGCCUGAUCUAGMCAUGCCGCGUGUGUGAURRAGGCCUGUAGGGUCKYAAAGMWCUUUCRYMWGGGAUGAYAAUGACRKUAYMUGGUAAWKAAACCCCGGYUAACUCCGUGCCAGCAGCCGCGGUAAUACGGAGGGGGUUAGCGUUGUUCGGAAUUACUGGGCGUAAAGCGUACGUAGGCGGAUCAGAAAGUAGGGGGUGAAAUCCCAGGGCUCAACCCUGGAACUGCCUCCUAAACUCCUGGUCUUGAGUUCGAGAGAGGUGAGUGGAAUUCCAAGUGUAGAGGUGAAAUUCGUAGAUAUUUGGAGGAACACCAGUGGCGAAGGCGGCUCACUGGCUCGAUACUGACGCUGAGGUACGAAAGUGUGGGGAGCAAACAGGAUUAGAUACCCUGGUAGUCCACACCGUAAACGAUGAAUGCCAGUCGUCGGGCAGUAUACUGUUCGGUGACACACCUAACGGAUUAAGCA
rnacentral:rRNA from 1 species